CGCAAUUGCGCAGCUUAGAGGGAACAUUGCUGCAGACUAGUUUUUGCAACCAGAAGAGUCCACGUUUUACAUACAGUCUCUGUCUCCACCAAUCUAUACAACAGAAUUGGUCUUCCAGGUCCAGCUGACGAAUGGGGAUUGGCUGGCGGCAGAGCUGAUAGCUGACUGGCUGGUCGUUUGACGACAUGGAUCUGGUGAUGACCAGGACGUCCUGGAAAAGGAACACGUGGAGCUUCUGGAAAGACAGAGUCAUACAGACUCUCCAUGACAGCUGAGGGUCUUGGAGCGGUCGAUGAGUUCGUCCCUUUGUCCGUCCUCUGUGUACACCAGACGAUCCUUGUAGUAUUGACACUCCGACUCUCCUGUCUGCCUGUUGAUGUCCGCCACCACGCUUUGAACCAUCAGCAUCUGUGGGGUGCUGUCGGUCUAGGUGGUCGUUGGCUGUGUGCUUCAGGAUCUCUCUCAGCAGCAGCGGGUAUUUCACCAGCCGGCUGCGGGGGAUGUCCAGGAAGUUCCACAGG